rnacentral:rRNA from 1 species
GUGUCAGCCGCCGCGGUAAUACGUAGGGGGCAAGCGUUGUCCGGAAUUAUUGGGCGUAAAGCGCGCGCAGGCGGUCUUUUAAGUCUGAUGUGAAAUCUCGUGGCUUAACCGCGAGCGGCCAUUGGAAACUGGAGGACUUGAGUACAGAAGAGGAGAGUGGAAUUCCACGUGUAGCGGUGAAAUGCGUAGAUAUGUGGAGGAACACCAGUGGCGAAGGCGACUCUCUGGUCUGUAACUGACGCUGAGGCGCGAAAGCGUGGGGAGCGAACAGGAUUAGAUACCCGAGUAGUCC